GUUGAUCCUGGCUCAGGAUGAACGCUGGCGGUCUGCUUACACAUGCAAGUCGAACGGGCUCUUCGGAGCUAGUGGCGGACGGGUGAGUAACGCGUGAGGAUCUGCCUUCAGGAGGGGGAUAACGACUGGAAACGGUCGCUAAUACCGCAUAUGCCUACGGGUGAAAGAUUUAUCGCCUGGAGAUGAACUCGCGUCAGAUUAGCUAGUUGGUGGGGUAAGAGCCUACCAAGGCGACGAUCUGUAGCUGGUCUGAGAGGAUGAUCAGCCACACUGGGACUGAGACACGGCCCAGACUCCUACGGGAGGCAGCAGUGGGGAAUUUUCCGCAAUGGGCGCAAGCCUGACGGAGCAAGACCGCGUGCGGGAUGACGGCCUAAUGGUUGUAAACCGCUUUUCUCUGGGAAGAUGAUGACGGUACCAGAGGAAUCAGCCUCGGCUAACUCCGUGCCAGCAGCCGCGGUAAUACGGAGGAGGCAAGCGUUAUCCGGAAUUAUUGGGCGUAAAGCGUCCGUAGGUGGUUAUUCAAGUCUGCUGUCAAAGCGUGGGGCUUAACUCCAUAGAGGCAGUGGAAACUGGAUGACUUGAGUGCGGUAGGGGUCGAGGGAAUUCCCAGUGUAGCGGUGAAAUGCGUAGAUAUUGGGAAGAACACCAGUGGCGAAAGCGCUCGACUGGGCCUGCACUGACACUGAGGGACGAAAGCUAGGGGAGCGAAAGGGAUUAGAUACCCCUGUAGUCCUAGCCGUAAACGAUGGAUACUAGGUGUUGCUCGUCAUCGACCCGAGCAGUGCCGUAGCCAACGCGUUAAGUAUCCCGCCUGGGGAGUACGCUCGCAAGAGUGAAAUCUCAAGGAAUUGACGGGGGCCCGCACAAGCGGUGGAGUAUGUGGUUUAAUUCGAUGCAACGCGA
rnacentral:rRNA from 1 species